rnacentral:rRNA from 1 species
AAGGAGCAGUGGAGCGUUUGGAAGUGAGAAUGCCGGUGUGAGUAGCGAAAAGAGGGGUGAGAAUCCCCUCCGUCGAAAGCCCAAGGUUUCCUGAGGAAGGCUCGUCCGCUCAGGGUUAGUCUGGACCUAAGCCGAGGCCGAAAGGCGUAGGCGAUGGAUAACAGGUUGAUAUUCCUGUACCACCGAUCCACCGUUUGAACAAUGGGGGGACGCAGGAGGAUAGUGACGCAUGCGGAUGGAAGUGCAUGUGUAAGUUUCGAGACCGUCUGAUUGGCAAAUCCGUCAGGCACCAAAGUCGAGGAACGAUGCGGAGUCCCGUAGGGACGAAGGUCACGAUUUCACACUGCCAAGAAAAGCCUCUAGUGAGGUGGAAGGUGCCAGUACCGUAAACCGACACAGGUAGGCGGGAUGAGAAUUCUAAGACGCGCGGGAUAACUCUCGUUAAGGAACUCGGCAAAAUGGUCCCGUAACUUCGGGAGAAGGGACGCUCUACAUGAGUAGAGCCGCAGUGAAUAGGCCCAAACGACUGUUUAGCAAAAACACAGGUCUCUGCUAAAUCGCAAGAUGACGUAUAGGGGCUGACGCCUGCCCGGUGCUGGAAGGUUAAGGGGAUGGGUUAGCGCAAGCGAAGCUUUGAACCGAAGCCCCAGUAAACGGCGGCCGUAACUAUAACGGUCCUAAGGUAGCGAAAUUCCUUGUCGGGUAAGUUCCGACCCGCACGAAAGGCGUAACGAUUUGGGCACUGUCUCAACGAGAGACCCGGUGAAAUCAUAGUACCUGUGAAGAUGCAGGUUACCCGCGACAGGACGGAAAGACCCCAUGGAGCUUUACUACAGCCUGAUAUUGAGGCUUUGUGCAUGAUGUACAGGAUAGGCGGGAGACGUCGAGACCGGAGCGCCAGCUUCGGAGGAGUCACCCUUGGGAUACCGCCCUUCAUGCAUAGAGUCUCUAACUCGCAGCCGUCAUCCGGCUGGAGGACCGUGUCAGGCGGGUAGUUUGACUGGGGCGGUCGCCUCCUAAACAGUAACGGAGGCGCCCAAAGGUUCCCUCAGAAUGGUUGGAAAUCAUUCGUAGAGCGCAAAGGCAGAAGGGAGCUUGACUGCGAGACCUACAAGUCGAGCAGGGACGAAAGUCGGGCUUAGUGAUCCGGUGGUUCCGCAUGGAAGGGCCAUCGCUCAACGGAUAAAAGCUACCCUGGGGAUAACAGGCUGAUCUCCCCCAAGAGUCCACAUCGACGGGGAGGUUUGGCACCUCGAUGUCGGCUCAUCGCAUCCUGGGGCUGGAGUAGGUCCCAAGGGUUGGGCUGUUCGCCCAUUAAAGCGGUACGCGAGCUGGGUUCAGAACGUCGUGAGACAGUUCGGUCCCUAUCCGUCGUGGGCGCAGGAAAUUUGAGGAGAGCUGUCCUUAGUACGAGAGGACCGGGAUGGACGCACCGCUGGUGUACCAGUUGUUCCGCCAGGAGCAUCGCUGGGUAGCUACGUGCGGACGGGAUAAAUGCUGAAAGCAUCUAAGCAUGAAGCCCCCUCCAAGAUGAGAUUUCCCUUUGAGUAAUCAAGAAAGACCCCUCAGAGACGAUGAGGUAGAUAGGUCACGGGUGGAAGCAUGGCGACAUGCGGAGCUGAGUGAUACUAAUCGGUCGAGGCCUUGUUCUA